rnacentral:rRNA from 1 species
CAGCCGCCGCGGGAAUACGAAGGGUGCAAGCGUUAAUCGGAAUUACUGGGCGUAAAGCGUGCGUAGGCGGUUUGUUAAGUCUGCUGUGAAAUCCCCGGGCUCAACCUGGGAAUGGCAGUGGAUACUGGCAAGCUAGAGUGUGUCAGAGGAUGGUGGAAUUCCCGGUGUAGCGGUGAAAUGCGUAGAGAUCGGGAGGAACAUCAGUGGCGAAGGCGGCCAUCUGGGACAACACUGACGCUGAGGCACGAAAGCGUGGGGAGCAAACAGGAUUAGAGACCCGCGUAGUCCCUGUCUCUUAUAC